GACGAACGCUGGCGGCGUGCUUAACACAUGCAAGUCGAACGGAAAGGCCCUGCUUUUGUGGGGUGCUCGAGUGGCGAACGGGUGAGUAACACGUGAGUAACCUGCCCUUGACUUUGGGAUAACUUCAGGAAACUGGGGCUAAUACCGGAUAGGAGCUCCUGCUGCAUGGUGGGGGUUGGAAAGUUUCGGCGGUUGGGGAUGGACUCGCGGCUUAUCAGCUUGUUGGUGGGGUAGUGGCUUACCAAGGCUUUGACGGGUAGCCGGCAUGGGAGGGUGACCGGCCACAUUGGGACUGAGAUACGGCCCAGAGUCCAACGGGAGGCAGCAGUGGGGAAUAUUGCACAGUGGGCGGAAGCCUGAUGCAGCAACGCUGCGUGCGGGAUGACGGCCUUCGGGUUGUAAACCGCUUUCGCCUGUGACGAAGCGUGAGUGACGGUAAUGGGUAAAGAAGCACCGGCUAACUACGUG
rnacentral:rRNA from 1 species